rnacentral:ribozyme from 12 species
GAAUAAAAAUAUUUUCUUUAUUUACCUGUUGUUCCUUUUCAGAAUUCUUCCUUACUUUUUCUUCUUCUUUGUCUUCCAAAUUGUUUCUUUUUU